rnacentral:rRNA from 1 species
UGCCGCUUGCGAGGGCGUAUGGUGGAUGCCUUGGCAGACAGUACCGAUGAAGGACGUUUGAGGAUGCGAUAAUCCUAGGGGAGCCUCCAACAUGGCUUUGAUCCUAGGGUCUCCGAAUGGGGGAACCCGCCGGCCGUCAUGGGCCGGCACCGCCUAUGGGCGGGGGGUACGCAGGGAAGUGAAACAUCUCAGUACCUGCAGGAAGGGAUACUCCGUGAGUAGUGGCGAGCGAAAGCGGAUCAGACCAAACCGGUUGCGCGUGAUACCCGUCGGGGGUUGCGUUGCCGGUGUUGUGGGAUCACGUGUCCCGGUUCCGACGGGCCGGGCGGGAGUCAUAAAACGGCUUGCCAGGGGAACAGGCUUGAAGGCCUGGCCGUAGAGGGUGCCAGCCCCGUACCUGGACGUGAGCCGUCUUCCGAUCGUGUUGUCCCAAGUAGCGCGGGCCUCGUGGAAUCCCGCGUGAAUCAGCCCAGACCGUUGGGUAAGUCUAAGCAUACCUGUCUGACCGAUAGCGUACCAGUACCGUGAGGGAAAGGUGAAAAGCACCCCGGGAGGGGAGUGAAACAGUUCCUGAAACCGUGCGCCCACAAACCGUCGGAGCCUCCGCGUGGGGUGACGGCGUGCCUAUCGAAAAAUGAGUCUGCGAGUCAGUGGCGGGUGGCGAGCAUAAGCCGUGUGGCGUAUGCGUAGCGAAAGCGAGUCUUAAAAGGCGUUUGUAGUCGCUUGUCCUGGACCCGAAGCGGGAUGAUCUAGCCCUGGGCAGGUUGAAGCGCGGGUAAGACCGCGUGGAGGACCGAACCCACCUGGGUUGAAAACCGGGGGGAUGACCUGGGGCUAGGGGUGAAAGGCCAAUCAAAUUCCGUGAUAGCUGGUUCUCUCCGAAAUGCAUUUAGGUGCAGCGUCGGUCGAUUGCGUCGCGGGGGUAGAGCUACCGGAUGCUUGCGGGCCCUUGUUGGGUACCAACAGCAGCCGAACUCCGAAUACCGUUGACGUGUAUUCCGGCAGUGAGUCGGCGGGGGAUAAGCUCCGUCGUCGAGAGGGAGACAGCCCAGACCGUCGUCUAAGGUCCCGAAGCGUGUGCUAAGUGGGAAAGGAUGUGGAGUCGCAUAGACAGCCAGGAGGUUGGCUCAGAAGCAGCCAUCCUUGAAAGAGUGCGUAACAGCUCACUGGUCUAGUGGUUCCGCGCCGACAAUGUAGCGGGGCUCAAGCACACCACCGAAGACGCGGCAGCAAUCUUCAUGGUUGCUGGGUAGGAGAGCGUCCUGCAUGGGGCGAAGCGGCCGGGUAACCGUGCCGUGGACCGUGUGGGAGUGAGAAUGCAGACAUGAGUAGCGAGAGACGGGUGAGGAUCCCGUCCGCUGGAUGACCAAGGGUUCCGGGGCCACGUUCGUCGUCCCCGGGUGAGUCGGGUCCUAAGGCGAGGCCGACAGGCGUAGUCGAAUGGAUGAACGGGUGGAUAUUCCCGUACCGACCAUGGACCGGCAAAACCGAGACGGUGAGUACUAACCUCCGCCUCGUGGUGGUUCCUUCCUUCGGGUUGGUUCCGCCGCGUGGUGUUGGGAGCGUAGCCGCAGUAGGUCAGCGCAGGGGUGACACGGAAUGGGAGCCGGCCGCGGAGGUGGUUUUCCGUGGUCAAGCACGCAGCCAGUCAUGUAGGCAAAUCCGCAUGGCGCGCAUGGCGAGGUGUGAUGAUGGGAGCCGUUAUGGUUCGAUAUCCGGUUGUCCAGGCCGUCGAGAAAAGCCUCGGCGUGAGGGCCAUGGCCGCCCGUACCCCAAACCGACACUGGUGGUCAGGUAGAGAAUACCAAGGCGAUCGAGCGAAUCCUGGUCAAGGAACUCGGCAAAUCACUCCCGUGCCUUCGGUAUAAGGGAGACCCACUGGGGUGAAGGACCUUGCGUCCGGAGCUUUGGUGGGUGGCACAGACCAGGGGGUAGCGACUGUUUACCAAAAACACAGGUGCAUGCGAAGGCGAAAGCCGCUGUAUAUGCACUGACGCCUGCCCGGUGCCGGAAGGUUAAGAGGAUCCGUCAAUCCUUCGGGAUGAAGCGGUGAAUUCAAGCCCCGGUAAACGGCGGUGGUAACUAUAACCAUCCUAAGGUAGCGAAAUUCCUUGUCGGGUAAGUUCCGACCUGCACGAAUGGCGUAACGA